GACGAACGCUGGCGGCGUGCUUAACACAUGCAAGUCGAGCGAUGAAGCCUCUUCGGAAGUGGAUUAGCGGCGGACGGGUGAGUAACACGUGGGUAACCUGCCUCAUAGAGGGGAAUAGCCUUCCGAAAGGAAGAUUAAUACCGCAUAAGAUUGUAAUAUCGCAUGAUAUAGCAAUUAAAGGAGUAAUCCGCUAUGAGAUGGACCCGCGUCGCAUUAGCUAGUUGGUGAGGUAACGGCUCACCAAGGCGACGAUGCGUAGCCGACCUGAGAGGUUGAUCGGCCACAUUGGGACUGAGACACGGCCCAGACUCCUACGGGAGGCAGCAGUGGGGAAUAUUGCACAAUGGGGGAAACCCUGAUGCAGCAACGCCGCGUGAGUGAUGACGGUCUUCGGAUUGUAAAGCUCUGUCUUCAGGGACGAUAAUGACGGUACCUGAGGAGGAAGCCACGGCUAAUUACGUGCCAGCCGCCGCGGUAA
rnacentral:rRNA from 1 species